rnacentral:ncRNA from 1 species
UGUCUCCUCUACCCUCCACGGGUGGAUUCAAACCCGGACCAGCUUCGUUGGUCCGGGUUUUUUUUC